UACGUAGGGGGCAAGCGUUAUCCGGAUUUACUGGGUGUAAAGGGAGCGUAGGUGGCAUGGUAAGCCAGGAGUGAAAACCCGGGACUCAACCCCGCGGAUUGCUUUUGGAACUAUCAGGCUGGAGUGCUGGAGGGGUAAGCGGAAUUCCUAGUGUAGCGGUGAAAUGCGUAGAUAUUAGGAGGAACACCGGUGGCGAAGGCGGCUUACUGGACAGAAACUGACACUGAGGCUCGAAAGCGUGGGGAGCAAACAGG
rnacentral:rRNA from 1 species